UGUAGCUCUGCGGUAGAGCAUUUGCCUGGGAUGCAUGAGGCCCUGGAUUCAAUCCCCAGUA
rnacentral:tRNA from 1 species